CUGAAAGGGGCCUCAGAGGGCAUCCUCCCUACUCCAUGGCCUUGCCCUUGUCUCUCCACCUCCCCGAUAGAAGGCACUAGAUCUCAAUAUAAGCCCCAGGGCAGCAAGACUGAUCUAGCUUCCCCAUUAUUCCGCUUGGGAAUAAUGCCCAAGGACCACUAGGCCUGAGUCUCACAGCUCCAGGCCUGGAAAGGAGCCUACUUGUCCCGUCACAGAUCACAACUGGGCGGGCCAGCUCUGAGCCUUUGCUAUUUGAAGGGAUGUUUUGAUAACCUCUUACCGCUCCUCCCCAACCCUGCAAAGCCCCACCUGAUCACCCCACACUCUGGGCCUCCUCUUAUCUCCUUACUCUAAGCUCCCCAUCCAUUACUGUCGGCUGGCAACACAAGUUUUAUCUGAGCCUCUGUGGAAUGGAAUUGAUUUCUGUGAAUAAUUGGAAUAGCUGGCUAGUGACCCAGUAUUGCUGCCACCAGGGUAGUUGGAGCUUCAAAGCUCUCAUCCAACUCUGCCUCUCUCUCUCCAUUCCCGUGGCUGUUGUCUGGUCCAAACCAUCCUGACCUUCUGCUUGGAUCAUGAUUACAGCUUCCUAACUGCGCUGCCUCUUUCUGAUUACCCUGCACCCCAUCAUCCACUCCAAUCUGUCCUCUACAUAGCGGCUAAAUAGAUCUUUAAAAGCUCAAACCUGCCUAGACAGUAACGCCUUUCUACCUUGGCCUGCCAUUUAGGGGUCUUUCUGAUGGAAUUCCAGCUUAACUUUCCAGCCUUACAGGGUCCAGCACAGAGGCAGGCACCCAAGAGACAUCUGUAAUGAUGUUG
rnacentral:lncRNA from 1 species